UACGUAGGGGCCGAGCGUUGUCCGGAGUUAUUGGGCGUAAAGCGCGCGCAGGCGGCUUCGCGCGCCCGACGUGAAAGCCCCCGGCUUAACCGGGGAGAGUCGUUGGGGACGGCGGGGCUUGAGGGCGGGAGAGGUCGGUGGAAUUCCCGGUGUAGCGGUGAAAUGCGUAGAGAUCAGGAGGAACACCCGUGGCGAAGGCGGCCCUCUGGCUCGACCCUGACGCUGAGAGGCGAAAGCGUGGGGAGCGAACGGG
rnacentral:rRNA from 1 species